rnacentral:misc_RNA from 1 species
AAAGUCGUAACAAGGUCUCCGUUGGUGAACCAGCGGAGGGAUCAUUACAGAGUUGCAAAACUCCCUAAACCAUUGUGAACGUUACCUUAACCGUUGCUUCGGCGGGCGGCCCCGGGGAUUUAACCCCCCGGGCGCCCGCCGGAGGUCACCAAACUCUUGAUACUUUAUGGCCUCUCUGAGUCUUCUGUACUGAAUAAGUCAAAACUUUCAACAACGGAUCUCUUGGUUCUG